GAAUGUUCCACCCUAAGAUGGUGUGUUCCUGCACACCAUCGGACUAGAAAGAUGUUGACUUGGAAAUGAGCCUUACGUGAUCUUCAGCUGUUGCAGUUUCAGGUAGCCCUGCUGGCUUCAAAUUUGCUGUACAGUAGUGACUGACCUUGCAUUUCCGAUCUCCCUCCCUCUACUCUCCAAGUGUGUGGCACUACACCUGUCCUUUCACUGUAAAACAAUUGGCAUUUAAACCUAAACACUUGUUUGUUGAGAUGGAAUCUUAUAGUCCAGGCUGGUCUAAAGCUCUUGAUCUUCCCACCUUAGCUUCCUGGUGCUGGGAUUUGUUAUAGAUUUGUGCCAUCCCCCACCCCUGACAACACACAUAAAACUGGUCUUUAUAGCCAUGCCUGCUGACAUACAACUGCAAUGCCAGCUACCCAGGAGGUGUGAAAGGGUAGAUGGGACAAUAGAUCAGCCAGCGGUAGGAAGUUUGCCUAACAUGGGUGAGGCCCUGGGGUUCAUCCCAGGACUGUAACACUGUUCUAUCACCACCUAAAUGAACAAACAAACAAACAAACACUUCUCUGAAACUUAGGUUUAGACAUUUAGUACCGUCAGUAUGUCUGGGCCUGGCUUUGGGGUGGAACCCACAUCCUGAGUUGAACCCGUAGACCAUGAACAGGUUUCUGAACUACUUGAGCAUGAACUUUUGCAUGACUGGCCAUGUGAGCCUUCAGAUGGCAUUUGGUGACUGAAUUGAGAUGGUAGAGGAUAAAUUUGGGAGGUUACAGUUGUCAGCAUUUCAGAUAGUUGCAUGGCAUCCCGUGGAAAAUGCAACAGCAAGAACCAAAUACCACAGGCAUGUGCACCGCUUCUCCAGCCUCUUCACUUCACGCUUCUGUCAUCUGGGAUGAAAACUUAAGCACAGUUCUUAUAAAAAUAGCUCACUUGUCCCAAUCUCCUGCUAUAUAUACACUAGACUUGGUCAAACCACAUCCUGCACGCAGCCUUUGGCUCACUGAACAGCACUCAUAUGCCAUGCAUGAGCUACUGCAUGUCCAGACGGAAAUAGCACUCCCGGACUCAUAGUAAAGACAUUUAUUUUUAGGUGUUAUGAGUGAUAUAUUAGAAUUACACAGAAGGAAAGCUAGACUGGAGGAGAGCAAAGUGCACAACUGAGAUCCCAGCCAUUUUCUGUCUACACUGCUGCACGUCUCAUCCUUGGACCACAGUCCAAGGGAUGCUUUCAGGUGGACUAACGUUACAUAGCUCUCAUAAUGUACCUGGCACGGCUUUCACUUUCUUCUUUCUCCCCCUCCCUCCCUCCCUCCCUCCCUUCCUUCCUUCCCUUUUUAGCAUAGGGUCUCUCUCUAUAGCCUAGGUUGACCUUGAACUCAUUAUGGCGUCUAGACCGACUUAGAAGUCAUGAUCCUCCAGCCUGAAUAUCCCAAGUAUUAGGAUUAUAGAUAUGCACCACUGAGCCUGGAUCAGGGUUUAGUUUUUACAUACUUCCAGAAGAGCUUAGGUAUCAGUGAGUCCGAGGGCAGCUCCAGGAGAGAACAGUCCAGCCAGGCAUGGUUCCAGCUGAGAUGGGACUGAGAUGGGACUGCCUGUCUGUAGGGCCGUGCCACUCCCUCCUGCUCAUAGUUGAAAGUGUGUCCCUUUCCUACAGCUGUGGGAGUCAAAGCCUGGAGAGGUCAAGGGUCACAGCUAGAAGACAAAGCUAAUUCACUCCCUUCCCCAGUUCUCCAAGCCUGGGCCGUAACCUUGCUGCGUCUCAUGUCUGUCAGCUGCCAGUUCUAAGGCACUGCCGAAUAGCUUCCUCUAAACAUUGUGGGUGUUUUCAAAAUGAUCUGCCAGCGCAGAGACUGGUGUGUGCUACCUUCACUUCUGUCUGGCUUCACCUUUUUUGGUAUGGAAGUCUUAGAUUGGUGGAGAUUAAACAGAAAAUCCAGGAAGGAGCUAGUGUCCAGUAAAGCACCUGAUUUAUUUGCCUUUUCUGGGUUUUCCCAGAUGUAGAAGACCUUGAUGCUGAUGCAAAGCUUUGCACCUCAUUAGCAACAAAGACACUGGAGGACGUGUUAAUUUAACUACCCGACUGGCAGCUGUUCGACUUCUCUUGUACCUUGGCUGUCCCCGGACAGAACAACUGUCAAGCAGUCCACUGAGUUACCCUGAAGCUGACGGUCAUGCUGUUCUCCACAGAUCUCUUGAGAAAAACCUACAAUUGCAGCUGCUUGCUUUGACUCCCGGAAGUGACACUUUGGGACUUCAGGCCUGGUUCACUUUAUACCAACUUUUUUUUUUUUUUUUUUAAUGACAAACCUCAGUGAGCCCUAGAUGGCCCUGCAGCUGUCCCCACCUAGGUGAGAGGCGAAGCACCUCUCCGGGUAGACCAACAGAAGCACCUCUGAGACUGGAACUCAAGGAAGGGCUGUGCUGAUUGGUACAAAUGUAACCUUCAUUUGCAUGUGAAGUUUGUUGUGAUUGGUGGAAACCACCUCUUCUCUGGCUCUAGAAACGUGGUUGAGUACACUUGAUGAAUCAGCCAAGAGAUCCCCACCCCACCCCCACCCAAUACUGUCUGUCCUGAUGUUAAACACAAAAAACAAACAAAAAAAGGGCCUAAAAAAAGGGCUUGUUUUGGGUGGUCCUUUCUUGUCCAGUUGUAGAAGUGUGGGCUGAGCCUGGAGCAGGAUAAAAAUUAGCAGAGCAGAGUGACCCGGAUGCAGAGACACCAACAAAACAGCAGAAGCAGAAAUGGUUGAACCACCGGUUGGCAGGCCAAGCUGCGAAGAGCAGCAGGCAGCCCGCUGCUUAACUGCUUUAGAAUAGUGGCGGAGGAGUUAAAGAGAAUGACUUGGGCUGGAGCAUGGCGGGAGGCAGAGGGAGGAUUCAGAACUGAAGAAGAAGGAAGACCAUAAGUGUCAGCAAAGAGAAACUGUAGGUCCUGGUCCCCAGAGAAGUUUCAGAGAGUUCUCAAACCUUUAAGGCAAAGGGCCUCAGCCUCUCCAAAUCCAGGAGCUGUAACAGUGGCCAGUCAAAAGCCAAGGAAUCGUGCAAUGCCUGCUUCUGCCAAGAGCUAAGGAGUCCCAUUCUCGUCUUGCACAAAUAGCUGUAACAUGGAAGUUGGUAUCUCCCUAUGGGAACCCUGCUGGACUGUUCUAGAGGACACUGCCUGCUGCUGCAUCCUCCCGCUGGUGCUGGCUCCUUACUGUCAAACCCAGAGGGAUGUGACAAAUGUCGAAGACCAGCACUGGAAGAGUUUCUUGCCUAUGCACCAUCUUGGUAGAGGAAAGCUUGGAAUCCCACUAAGCUGAUAGGUAAGGAGGGCCUUUAAAAUUCUUCAGGGCAUCUUAUGAUGCCUGGUCGAAAUAGAAUAGAAAUAGAAUAUUAAAGCUUCCC
rnacentral:lncRNA from 1 species